AUGAGUCAAAAAGAUCAUGUAAUCGUUUGCUUUAACAUGACAAAGGAUGUGGAAUGGAUGGUUAACAUCAGAAGAUAUGAAAUGGACCUGAUACGGCCCUUGUCUCCACCUACAAAUGUCUGUGCAUCCAUUGAAGGUACACACCUUUACAUCUCCUGGAAUCUGCCUGACUCUAACAACAUUGCAAAUCCUGACUGUUUUGAGUACCAGCUGGAUUUGGGCGAACAGGUAGGACAUCAGAACUCUGAGGAACUCCACAAGUCAGACCCAACAGAGAUCGAAGUUAGUCUAAUCCAAAAGACACACACACACACACACACACACACACACAUCUUGGUAACUAUUUCUAAACAGGAAGACCUGAGGAUGCUGACGGGAACUCUGCAGUAUGUGGAGUUGAAUGCCGCUUCGUCCCGCAGCUACAGGGUGAGAAUUAGGACACGAACAUCACAAUAUUGCCAUGGAUACCAACAUUGGAGCCAAUGGAGCCCCACAGUCAGUAAGUGACCUUUGACCCAGUCAUCUCAGACUCAAUUGGCCCUACAAUAUGGUUAGCUCAGCCCCUAAUCAGCGCAUAGUGUUGUUUGUGCAGAGCCCUGAUUUGUGCAGAGCCCUGAUUCCCUGCGGUUGUUUUUGUGCAGAACCAACCCGAUUCACCCACCUGUAGACUUAUUGGAUGGCUGAAAUGAUGUCACUCUAAAGCCAAUUUAUUGCUGCAUUUCACACCAAAUGCAGAUGGUGGUAUGGAACUAGCCGGCGCUGCACAGAACCCUAUUUACUUUGGUAACUGGGCGUUAAAAUGCUAAAAUUCUGUGCAGUCUAUGUUAUUACAACCACUCUAAUGCCCUCUGUGCAUUUUAAACAGUUAUUUAGAAACACAGCCAUAAAAAUGGCUGUUAAACAGUUUGAUACUAUUUUCAUGUGUCCUCACCUCUAAUAGCUUUCAGAGUGCUGAUGUUUUUAGCAGUUAGCUUAGUGUUGUAACGCGUGUUUAUACCCAAUUAAAAUCAAACAUACCAGAAAUAUAGAUUUAAAAAGGCAUAACAUUUUUGUUACAAGUAGAUCCUAGCACAUACUUAGCAUCAGCAUUAGCAUUAUUAUCCGGAACCAAUCAUGAGCACAACUCACUACUUUACCGAGCGAAAACAAGACGGUCAUUUAAAGCUUCCCCGGAUCCCUAAAUGUUUAACCAACCUGAAAAAAAAUAGGCGUAGGCUUCCAGGUUUGUAAAAGGUUUUCAUUUGGUAAUGUAUUAGUAGUAUGAGGCACGCAGCACAAGGUAGUUUGUUAUGCCGAUCACUUCAGCACUGGGUAAAUCCUCCAGGGUGUAUGAAAAGUCCCACUUUUAAAACUAUGCGGGUCACAACCUAAAGGAAGAUGUAUUUUUUCGUGAUAUUGCGUCUGUGCCACUUAAAGCCUUCGUACUAUCACUUUAUAUAUAUAUAUAUAUA
rnacentral:lncRNA from 1 species